rnacentral:rRNA from 1 species
GAUGAACGCUGGCGGCGUGCCUAAUACAUGCAAGUCGAGCGAACAGACGAGGAGCUUGCUCCUCUGACGUUAGCGGCGGACGGGUGAGUAACACGUGGAUAACCUACCUAUAAGACUGGGAUAACUUCGGGAAACCGGAGCUAAUACCGGAUAAUAUAUUGAACCGCAUGGUUCAAUAGUGAAAGACGGUUUUGCUGUCACUUAUAGAUGGAUCCGCGCCGCAUUAGCUAGUUGGUAAGGUAACGGCUUACCAAGGCAACGAUGCGUAGCCGACCUGAGAGGGUGAUCGGCCACACUGGAACUGAGACACGGUCCAGACUCCUACGGGAGGCAGCAGUAGGGAAUCUUCCGCAAUGGGCGAAAGCCUGACGGAGCAACGCCGCGUGAGUGAUGAAGGUCUUCGGAUCGUAAAACUCUGUUAUUAGGGAAGAACAAAUGUGUAAGUAACUAUGCACGUCUUGACGGUACCUAAUCAGAAAGCCGCGGCUAACUACGUGC